rnacentral:rRNA from 1 species
GUAGUCCUGGCUGUAAACGAUGUCGACUUGGAGGUUGUGCCCUUGAGGCGUGGCUUCCGGAGCUAACGCGUUAAGUCGACCGCCCGGGGAGUACGGCCGCAAGGUUAAAACUCAAAUGAAUUGACGGGGGCCCGCACAAGCGGUGGAGCAUGUGGUUUAAUUCGAUGCAACGCGAAGAACCUUACCUGGUCUUGACAUCCACAGAACUUUCCAGAGAUGGAUUGGUGCCUUCGGGAACUGUGAGACAGGUGCUGCAUGGCUGUCGUCAGCUCGUGUUGUGAAAUGUUGGGUUAAGUCCCGCAACGAGCGCAACCCUUAUCUUUUGUUGCCAGCGGUCCGGCCGGGAACUCAAAGGAGACUGCCAGUGAUAAACUGGAGGAAGGUGGGGAUGACGUCAAGUCAUCAUGGCCCUUACGACCAGGGCUACACACGUGCUACAAUGGCGCAUACAAAGAGAAGCGACCUCGCGAGAGCAAGCGGACCUCAUAAAGUGCGUCGUAGUCCGGAUUGGAGUCUGCAACUCGACUCCAUGAAGUCGGAAUCGCUAGUAAUCGUGGAUCAGAAUGCCACGGUGAAUACGUUCCCGGGCCUUGUACACACCGCCCGUCACACCAUGGGAGUGGGUUGCAAAAGAAGUAGGUAGCUUAACCUUCGGGAGGGCGCUUACCACUUUGUGAUUCAUGACUGGGGUGAAGUCGUAACAAGGUAACCGUAGGGGAACCUGCGGCUGGAUCACCUCC